UCUGAGUAUUUUUUAGAUCUAGAUCUCUUAGACAUCUAAUUCUAGACUGGAGAGCUACUGUACUACUGGCCUGAUCUAAUCUAUAGAUUCUAGAAUUACUAUGAUUUUGAUGAUCUAGAUCAUGAUUGAUACUAGAUCUAGAUCUGUUCUAGAUCUAGUAGACUAAGACAGCAUUUAUAAUAAACGAGUGGACAAGACCCUAUUUAUAUUAUAUUUAUAAAUACUAGUUCUAGUAUAAUGAUUGAUUCUACAUAAUACUAAAG